rnacentral:rRNA from 1 species
UACGAAGGGGGCUAGCGUUGCUCGGAAUGACUGGGCGUAAAGGGCGCGUAGGCGGAGUGCUUUGUCGGGCGUGAAAUUCCAGGGCUCAACCUUGGGGCUGCGUUCGAGACGGGCAUUCUUGAGUAUGGAAGAGGGUCGUGGAAUUCCCAGUGUAGAGGUGAAAUUCGUAGAUAUUGGGAAGAACACCGGUGGCGAAGGCGGCGACCUGGUCCAUUACUGACGCUGAGGCGCGAAAGCGUGGGGAGCAAACAGG